GAUGAACGCUGGCGGCGUGCUUAAUACAUGCAAGUCGAACGGAGAAUUAGCAAUAGUUCUUAGUGGCGAACGGGUGAGUAACGCGUGGGUGACCUGCCCCGAAGUGUGGGAUAACAGCUCGAAAGGGCUGCUAAUACCGCAUGUUGUCUACCAGGUUAGAGGCUGGCAGACGAAAGGCGAAAGCCGCUUUGGGAGGGGCCUGCGUCCCAUCAGCUAGUUGGUAAGGUAAAGGCUUACCAAGGCGACGACGGGUAGGGGGCCUGAGAGGGUGACCCCCCACACUGGCACUGAAACACGGGCCAGACACCUACGGGUGGCAGCAGUAGGGAAUAUUGCACAAUGGGCGCAAGCCUGAUGCAGCAACGCCGCGUGCGCGAUGAAGGCCUUCGGGUCGUAAAGCGCUUUUCUGGAGGACGAGGAAGGACGGUACUCCAGGAAGAAGGCUCGGCUAACUACGUGCCAGCAGCCGCGGUAAAACGUAGGAGCCUAGCGUUAUCCGAAUUCACUGGGCGUAAAGCGCGUGCAGGCGGUUCGGUAAGUUGGAUGUGAAAUCUCCUGGCUCAACUGGGAGAGGACGUUCAAGACUGUCGGACUAGAGGACGGUAGAGGAAGGUAGAAUUCCCGGUGUAGUGGUGAAAUGCGUAGAUAUCGGGAGGAAUACCAGUGGCGAAGGCGGCCUUCUGGGCCGUUCCUGACGCUCAGACGCGAAAGCUAGGGGAGCAAACGGGAUUAGAAACCCCGGUAGUCCUAGCCGUAAACGAUGUAGACUUGGUGUCGGUGGGGUAAAAGCCAGCGGUGCCGAAGCAAACGCGAUAAGUCUACCGCCUGGGGACUACGGCCGCAAGGUUA
rnacentral:rRNA from 1 species